GGGUUGUGAGGUUAAGCGACUAAGCGUACACGGUGGAUGCCCUGGCAGUCAGAGGCGAUGAAGGGCGUGCUAAUCUGCGAUAAGCGCCGGUAAGGUGAUAUGAACCGUUAUAACCGGCGAUACCCGAAUGGGGAAACCCAGUGUGACUCGUCACACUAUCAUUAACUGAAUCCAUAGGUUAAUGAGGCGAACCGGGGGAACUGAAACAUCUAAGUACCCCGAGGAAAAGAAAUCAACCGAGAUUCCCCCAGUAGCGGCGAGCGAACGGGGAGGAGCCCAGAGCCUGAAUCAGCAUGUGUGUUAGUGGAAGCGUCUGGAAAGGCGCGCGAUACAGGGUGACAGCCCCGUACACAAAAGCGCAUGUGUUGUGAGCUCGAUGAGUAGGGCGGGACACGUGGUAUCCUGUCUGAAUAUGGGGGGACCAUCCUCCAAGGCUAAAUACUCCUGACUGACCGAUAGUGAACCAGUACCGUGAGGGAAAGGCGAAAAGAACCCCGGCGAGGGGAGUGAAAAAGAACCUGAAACCGUGUACGUACAAGCAGUGGGAGCCCCACCACUAAGCCAGUGGUGAACUCCACAUACGCAUCCUUUGCUGAGGAUACGGUUAACGGAGCGAAAGCGACGUUCAACCGCAAAAGAAGCAGAGGGGGCUUAGUGGUGG
rnacentral:rRNA from 1 species